rnacentral:tRNA from 1 species
UAUAUUUUAGUGUUAAAGCAUAUAAAAUUUUGAGUUUUAUGGAAUUAAAUAAAUUAAUAAAUAUAU